GACGAACGCUGGCGGCGUGCUUAACACAUGCCAGUCGAACGGAAAGGCCCUGCUUUUGUGGGGUGCUCGAGUGGCGAACGGGUGAGUAACACGUGAGUAACCUGCCCUUGACUUUGGGAUAACUUCAGGAAACUGGGGCUAAUACCGGAUAGGAGCUCCUGCUGCAUGGUGGGGGUUGGAAAGUUUCGGCGGUUGGGGAUGGACUCGCGGCUUAUCAGCUUGUUGGUGGGGUAGUGGCUUACCAAGGCUUUGACGGGUAGCCGGCCUGAGAGGGUGACCGGCCACAUGGGGACUGAGAUACGGCCCAGACUCCUACGGGAGGCAGCAGUGGGGAAUAUUGCACAAUGGGCGGAAGCCUGAUGCAGCAACGCCGCGUGCGGGAUGACGGCCUUCGGGUUGUAAACCGCUUUCGCCUGUGACGAAGCGUGAGUGACGGUAAGGGGUAAAGAAGCACCGGCUAACUACG
rnacentral:rRNA from 1 species